rnacentral:rRNA from 1 species
CAUGUCCUUUAGAUUUUAAUUUAAGGUCUGAUCUGCUCAAUGAUAAUUAAAUAGCCGCGGUAUUUUGACCGUGCGAAGGUAGCAUAAUAAUUAGUUUUUUUAUUGGAAGCUUGUAUGAAUGAUUGGACGGAGGAUUACCUGUCCCCUUGGAACAUAUUUAUGAAUUUAACUUUUAAGUUAAAAGGCUUAAAUGUUUUUUAAAGACGAGAAGACCCUAUAGAGUUUUACAUUUUCGAUUUUGGAGGUUUUUUGGUAUAAGUUUUCCUUUUCUUUCUUUUUGUUUGGUUGGGGUGAUUGGAAGAUUUAUUUAACUCUUCUGUGUUUUUGUUACUGAUUAGUAAUUUCUUUUUCUAUAAUUUUUAAGUAUAAAUUAAAUUACCUUAGGGAUAACAGCGUUAUUUCUCUUUAGAGUCCUUAUUGGUAGAGAAGUUUGCGACCUCGAUGUUGGAUUAAAAUUUAUGUUAGGCGCAGUAGCCUAUUCUCUUGAGUCUGUUCGACUUUUAAAAUUUUACAUGAUCUGAGU